rnacentral:misc_RNA from 1 species
CGCACCUUGCACCCUUUGGUAUUCCGAAGGGUAUGCCUGUUUGAGUGUCUUUAAAUUCUCAAGCCAUUCAAGUUUUUAUACUUGAAUGAUUUGGAUUCUGAGGGUUUGUUGGCUCCAGUAGUCGACUCCCUUUAAAAGCAUUAGUGGCUUGUCGAUCCCCUUUACUGGUGUGAUAGCUCUAUCUACAUCUAUAAAGGCUAGGUCAUGCAAUGGCAAUGUAGCUGCUUUCUAACUGUCUAGUAAAUAGACAAUUUGAACCAUUUGACCUCAAAUCAGGUAGGACUACCCGCUGAACUUAA